rnacentral:sRNA from 1 species
GACACAUGUCUGAGUCUGGAUAUGUGUUUAUAACAUAAACACUAGACUGAUAAUUUUCUCUUAUUUCUUGACCAGUAAUGUGUUAUUGCUAUGGGCUCAUAGCAGGGGAUUUAUUUCCUUCAAAUUCUGCACUGUCCUGCUUCCUCCACUCAGAAUUUCUAGCACAAUAGUCAACUGUCUUGAUGUUAGUGAGCAUGGAUUAUUAUAUGUUUAUGUACUUUUCAAAGUUAGAGAUGUAUUUUCUUCCAGAUUAAAAAUGUUUUUGAUCAACUGUGUUUAGUUAUCAGAAGACCAAUAUGAUGUUGAAGCUCGGAUUCUUUCUAAUUCCUUGUUUUGGAUCUUUUCACCUACCUCUUUUCACCAAAUAAAUUUGCUGCGUUUUUAUGUGCAGGAGGCAUUCCAUGUAGCAAAAAUGGCAUUCAGACACUUCAAGAUCCGUGUGAGAAAAUCGUUGACACCAUCUUACGUGGGGUCGAAUGACUUUGAGAAUGCUGUCUCAGAUUAUGUCAUUUGUCAUCUUGAUCUGUAUAAUUCUCAAAGCAGUGUCAAUGAUGUGAUCCGAGCCAUGAAUGUCAAUCCCAAGAUUUCAUUCCCUCCUGUCGUUGACUUUUGCCUUCUCAAUGACUUCAUCCAGGAGAUAUGUUGCAUUGCCUUUGCAAUGCAGGCCUUAGAACCACCCCUAGAUAUUGCAUAUGGGGCAGAUGGAG